AGUGAACGCUGGCGGUAGGCCUAACACAUGCAAGUCGAACGGCAGCACAGUAAGAACUUGCUCUUACGGGUGGCGAGUGGCGUACGGGUGAGGAAUACAUCGGAAUCUACUUUUUCGUGUGGUAUAACGUAGGGAAACUUACGCUAAUACCGCAUACGACCUACGGGUGAAAGCAUGGGAUCUUCGGACCUUGCGCGAGUGAAUGAGCCGAUGUCGGAGUAGCUUGUUGGCGGGGUAAAGGCCCACCAAGGCGACGCUCCGUAGCUGGUCUGAGCGGAUGAUCCGCCACACUGGAAGGGAGACCGCGUCCAGACUCCUACGGGAGGCAGCAGUCGGGAAUCUUGGCCAAUGGGCGCAAGCCUGGUCCAGCCAUACCGCGUGGGUGAAGAAGGCCCUCGGGUUGUAAAGCCCUUUUGUUGGGAAAGAAAAGCAGCAGCUUAAUACCCCGCUGUUCUGACGGUACCCAAAGAAUAAGCACCGGCUAACUUCGUG
rnacentral:rRNA from 1 species